GCGCCGGCCGCGGGGCUUUGUGGUUCGCCGGUGCGGCUGGGCCCCUGCUGGGGGUGUCGUUACGAGCAUGUGCAGACAGCAGCCCAAGCCUUCAGGAUAAUUCCUUCAGCAGCACCGCUGUAACAGAGUAAGUGAUUCUUGCCAUUAAAAUGAGACUUGCAUGCCUUUCUCUGGAAGCAACUAUCAUGAAGGUAUCCACUGUCCCUAGCCCCUCUUCGUAUUAGAUGUAUUGUCUCCCGAAAUCUGGGCCAGCGAGGACCGAGGAGAGGCGUGUUGACUGAUGAGGUCCAGAAAUCUUUACAGGAUGAAAUCAACCUUUUUAGCAGCCGGGCAGAUAUAUUAAAACCAGCUGAUGGCUUCCAAGAGCUCCAUGCUCUAAGAUAUGUGUUUUUGAAGCUCAGACUAAAAAACAAAAAAAACCUAUCUGACAUGUUAGGAAGGGAGCUUGGUUGUAUUUUGCCAACAUUAGUGUCAGUUUUCAUGGAGUGCACGGUGUAUACAUUUACCGCAAAUAGACAGAUGCAAAUGACUUGAGUUUAAUUUCAGUCUGUGAUAAACAGGCUAAAGUUAUCCUCACUCUCUGGUGUCUGCAGAUUUUUAAGACACAGUGCAGUAAACUUUUCUUGCAUGCCCUUUGUCAUUUUUGUCUUCGAACAUUAAAGAUGCGACUGUAGGAGGAAUGGAUGACCUGGUCCUAGGUUAAAAUUUAUUGAUUAGGGCAACUAACACCAUUUCAACAGGAAAGAAGGAGUGUAAUGUUUUACUCCAAGACCGGUGGGCACAGUAUUCUUUUAUUAGAUGCUUAUAGUUCCUUGUUUUAAUUCUUGUCAUCCCUUCCUUAAUGUUUUCCCAAUAUUAUAAAUGUUAAAAAUUAAUAGCAUCUUUUCUUAAUACUACAUGCAAUGUGUAUGUAUGUGUACUAACUAUAAAUACUGUACGUCAUCUUGCAAUCUUCCUUUAGCUAAAUUCAUGAUGUUAAUUCUGGGAACCUUUGGUAGAAGUCACUUGGAAAAGCUUUUCAGAAAAAAAAGAUGUGUGUAAAGUUGCCUACUCAACUACAUUUAAAAAAUAUAGUGAGUUUGAUACAGAAACCCCAACUUGAGAGCUCUUUGCUAAAGUUCCCUAAAAAACAAGUAAAUGUGAAACAAGUAUUAUUUGAGUUUCAGGUUCCAACACUGUCACAAUGAGUUGAUGACAAUAACUUGGAGGUGUAAACUUAUACAGGGAUAAGACAAUGCUUCAGAGGCCCUCUGUUUCCUAC
rnacentral:lncRNA from 1 species